rnacentral:rRNA from 1 species
UAUUGGUCAAUGGGCGGAAGCCUGAACCAGCCAUGCCGCGUGCAGGAUGACUGCCCUAUGGGUUGUAACCUGCUUCUGUCCGGGAAUAAACCUCCUUACGUGUAGGGAGAUGAAUGUACCGGAAUAAUAAGGAUCGGCUAACUCCGUGCCAGCAGCCGCGGUAAUACGGAGGAUCCGAGCGUUAUCCGGAUUUUUUGGGUUUAAAGGGUGCGUAGGCGGCGCGUUAAGUCAGGGGUGAAAUACGGUGGCUCAACCAUCGCAGUGCCUUUGAUACUGACGUGCUUGAAUCCAUAUGAAGUGGGCGGAAUAAGACAAGUAGCGGUGAAAUGCAUAGAUAUGUCUUAGAACUCCGAUUGCGAAGGCAGCUCACUAAGCUGGUAUUGACGCUGAUGCACGAAAGCGUGGGGAUCGAACAGG